GUAGAUUGCCCUGUUCACAUUGUUUUUAGGUCCAGGCAUGUGAGAAUGAUCAUUUAUGGGAACUAUGCUGAACCUCUGACAUCUGAAGAUAUUCUCUCUUCUUCCUAUCCUUUCUUUUUUGUUUCUGUUUGCCAGCACAGCUGAGCCUCCCUGAUGCUCCCCUCUGUGCAGGGGCAGCUCUGCAGCUUCCCUUGCAGAGGACACUGGUGUUCUGCAGGAGCUCAUUUUGUGCGAGUUUAGCAUUCUGAAUUAAUUCCCAGUGCCUGUCCAAGGCAGCAUAAGUAUGCUGCAGGGUCGAAGCCCAGGGAGUGGGAUUGUUUCUGGCAGUAAUUAGCUGGUAACCCUACACUCAGAGUGGAUUUAAGAACUCUGUCCCAGGCACCAACUGCCUGCUUCUCACUCAAUGUUUUGUACCAGUAAUUGGCUACCAGUUUCUGACUGGGGAUCUAAUCAAUAGCCUUAGAGAAGAAAAAAGAAUUUAAAAUACCUUGCUGUCUCUAAAUUCGUUUAAUCUGAUCUGAUUUUUGAUUUGCUCCAAGAUAAGUAUGGAUCAUUUAGUGUAGCAAGAGAAAUUAUUUUUGGAGCCUAAAUAAUGGUGCUUUGUCUUCAAAUUUAGUAUUUUCUUGCUUUUGGAGGAAAUGUGUGUUCUGCUUCUACAAACUAAACAUAAUUAUAGUGUUCUCCCUUCAUUUCUCUGUAAGUCUGAAGCUGGAAACCACAGAAUUAAAAAGGAUUUUAAUGAGGGAAAUUUCACAACCCUCAUGAGAAAGACAGGAGAGUAGAGGCAGUUCCCUGUUUAUGAAGUAGAGGUGUCUGGUUUAUAAAUGCUGUUCUUCUGUUGCUUGGUGAUUUUAGGUCAGUUGUCAAAAUACAGAGCUAAAAAGCUGUAUUCCAUUCUUCUGGGCAAAAAUAAAGCAGCUUCGUGGUUUGGUUGGAGUUGCUGAUACAAAAUCAAGGAUAUAACAUGGAAUAUCCACCCUUAAGGGUGGAGAUAUAUAUCAAAAAAGGUGGAGAGAUAUAUCAAAGGUUGGAGAGUGCUUAAAGGGUCUCCAGAAAGGCAGGAGAAACUUUAUAUUUAAUCACUUGAGUAUGUGCUGGAUACUCAUUUUAUUCCUGGGCUUCCACAGAAAAAGAAUCAGGAACCUUAGAGCACUGUCCCAUGUAGCUGUGCUUUCCAAAAUGCUUUCCACAAAGAAGUAGUUGGAGGUUAUACUACAGAACAUUAAAUGGGUAUAUGGAAUAAAAUUUCCAUUUACUUAAUGUUGGCUUCUAGAUAUAUAAUAUAAUCAAACCUAAGAAAUUAGCAUUAAUUUGGGUUGUUUUUUUUUUACCAGUGGUUUGCUUGGUACAGGCUCACAGCAUCCAUACCAUGUGAAUAAGCUUCCAGUGCAGCCUGAGAUUUAGUCUUCCUUUUUGGUUAGUGCUGGCCAUUAUGUGGAGAAUACUCCAGUACACACGUGGUGGGGGUGAUGUCUGACAGACACCUUUGGGUUUUGGAGAACCUUAUUUCUUAAGCUUCAAUCACUAAGAAUUUUUAACAGACAUUAAAUUUAUGGCAGAAACAUUCCCAGCAUUAGUCUUUAUGUUUAUGUGCUGAGCAGAAGUAAUAGAAG